rnacentral:misc_RNA from 1 species
CGUAAAGCCAGGAAGCAGAUGGACUUACUGUUUAGUAAACAUUCAAGCGGGCUUUGUCAAGUUGUAAAUUAACUUACCCUUGCGGUUCUGGUUGGAUAUUAAGGCUGAAGAUACAGUUUGGUGUUUUUACAUUCUCAGGAAGUGUCCGUUCACGCUGGACAAGCAUACGAUUGACCGUGUUUCUGUAAAUUUACUCCAGACCGGCUGUCAAAUCGGAGUUGGGUGUCUGACAACGUGCGCUUCAUGAUGUGAUGUUUUUGGAGAGUGGGGAUCUUUGACACUUCUUUCUCUCCAGAUGAAUGAAUGACGUGUAGAUAGGGUUAGCUGUGAUGUUACCCCGGCUUGUGAGAGUGAUGCAGACGAGACAUGUAGCAGGAGUGUUGCUAGCUGUCUCUUUGACAGCGAUCUUUGGUUGUCUUCACUUGCUGAGUGAAGUGGCUCGCCUCGAUGAUGCAAGGGUCAGAUUAGAGCGAGCAGUCACCAAAUUACAGCUGGAUAACAUGGAUAUUGCCCGGAGGCCAUUAUCAUUUGCCAAUGAUCAGGAACUGGCGGACAAUGAUAAUGAUGAUCUUAUCAUUAUAUACAACCGAGUUCCCAAGACAGGCAGUACAUCAUUUGCAGGCAUCGCGUAUGAGCUGUGCCAGAAAAAUAGAUUUCAUGUACUUCAUAUAAAUAUCACAAAGAAUGCUCGUACAUUUUCCUUGUCAGAUCAGAUGCGGUUCAUCACUAACAUCACCAGCUGGACAGAGAAGAAGCCUGCACUGUAUCAUGGUCACGUAGCCUUUAUUGAUUUCUCAAGCUUUGGUUUGCUGAAGAAGCCCAUAUACAUUAACAUAGUACGCGACCCCCUGGAUCGGCUGGUGUCCUACUACUACUUUGUGCGAUAUGGAGACGAUUUUAGACCCUCCCUCAAGCGCAGGAAAGCAGGCAACAAAGAGACAUUCGACGAAUGUGUCAAUCGGAAUGGGGAAGACUGUGAUCCUGGAAAUCUCUGGCUACAAAUUCCAUUUUUCUGUGGCCAAAACGCUGAGUGCUGGGUUCCUGGAAGUAGAUGGGCUCUGGAACAGGCCAAGCACAAUCUGAUCCACCAUUACCUUGUGGUGGGUGUUACGGAGGAGCUUGGUGACUUCAUUGCAGUGUUGGAGGCAACUCUACCACGCAUGUUCCGAGGGGCUGUCCAGCUGUACAACUCAGGUCGCAAGUCCCAUCUACGGAAAACCACCAAGAAGAUUGCUCCCAAACCAGACACCCUGGCCCGAAUUCAGGAGUCCCCAAUAUGGCGGAUGGAGAAUGAGUUUUAUGAGUUUGCUGUACAACAGUUUCAUUAUGUGAAGCAUCAGACAUUUGACCUCGUAGAUGGGGAAUAUGUUGAAAAGGGAAACCGUUUUACCUAUGAAAAAAUUCGGCCUAGAUGAAACUGACAUGAGACUCAUGUCAUCAUAAGCUAGAGAGAAUUUACAGAUUAUCAGGACUGAUUCAAGGGAAGAAAUACUCUACCAGGAAAUGGCAAUGCUGUUUAUGUCUCUUUGAGGAAGAUGUGCCGGAGGUUUCUACACUUACACAAAAAACGGAUUAAUGAAAUGUUCAACCAAAAAAUACCCCCUUUAUGAUGUUUUGUGAUUUUUCUUGGAAAUACAUAAACAAAGUAUGGCAAACAACAUGGUAUUCUGUGGAGGUUCUUCCACUACUUCAAUACAAUUUAUUCAAAAGGGCUUUAGACAGAACCCUGUAAGCUAUUAAUGAGGAUGAAAUUGUUCAAUUAAUGACUUCACUGUAUGGUGCAGAACCCUUGUCAGGUUUUCAGUUCCUUCAAAAACUUUCCUAUCCUGAUAUUUAACUCAGAAUAAUCCAACAGUGGUCAUACAGGGCAUUUAAAAAAUAUGUCAUAUGCUUGAUUACCAUGGUAACUGACCUCAAUGACUGAGUCAUGCCCCUGAAGCAGGAUCACAUAAAACAGACAUGGUGUAAUAUGUACAUAUGUUAACGGUUAAGAAUCCUGUCUCUUGUAAGUUCUCUUGCCAUCAACCAAUGAAGAUAGUGGAGAUACUGAAAGGAACCUCAGUUGAUACUGACUCAUCCUUGAUAAUCUCCAGGGUAUGCGUUCUGAUAAAUCUCCACUAGUACCCUGGAUGCAUCUAUGGCUUUUCAUCCAAUCAGGUGUACCAAUCACAAGGCUUCUAUCAUAACUCACUUCCCUAAAUCUGAGUCACACAGCGAGCAAGUGUUCGCAGCUGUCUUUGUUGACACUGGCAAGCUCGGUUGUAAAGGCUUAUCUGAUUGGCUACUGUGAAAAGGUGGAGCCAGCAAAGGGAGGUAAUACAAUUAUCGAGCCAUAGAUGCAUCCAGGGUACUUAGUGGAGAUUUAUUGUAACAUAUACCCAGGAGAUUAUCGAGGAUGAUACUGACUGGGCGUAUUUCCUUUAGUCGUUAUGGUCUGUCAUUAGUAAGUAAGUAUCACUUUCAGCUAUUGAGAAAGUAUGCUUGUGAUUUAUGCAGGUGAAGUCAGACCAACACUGGCAUUAGAGGGUGAAGGUAAUUUAAAUCCUAGGGGCUGGAUGUUUUUGUUUCAAGAUUUUACUGCUUUCUGUGACAGCUGCAGAAUUGAUUCCUGUUUUAAUAAUAAAUGUCAUAUUUUUAUUAUUGUGCAAACUGGCUAUGAAUAUUGCUAUAUUUAUCCUUGACACCAAUCAAUCGUUUAAGAGUUGACAAAAUCAUACAAGUCGCCAUUAACAAUGUUGCUCUGUGAAUAUUCAGUGAAUAACCAUUACAACACUGAUUAUAUGAAUAUUCAGUGAAUAUGCCAUUACGGUGUGUAUAUUCAUGUAAUAUUCCCCUGUCAUGCUGCCAUUGUCCACAUUCAGUGAAUAACCAAUUAUAACACUGAUUAUAUGAAUAUUCAGUGAAUAUGCCAGUUACGGUGAGUAUAUUCAUGUAAUAUUCCCCUGUCAUGCUGCCAUUGUCCACAUUCAGUGAAUAUACAAUUGCCACACUGUUACAUUUCAAAGAGCUAAGUUUGAUGGCAUUUUGUAGACAUCAGAUUGUUGUUGCCACUCGAUAACAUUCAAAUAGUUCUCUUUAGUGACAAAACCAAGUCAUGAUUUAUUUGUGUUGUCAUUUUGUUUUGAGGCCUGACAUUCAGAGCCUGGCCAGCCAGUACUGUCACAUGUGUGUUGGCAAUCAUCUGUAUGAUAUGCAUUUACUUAUAGUCCCUGGAGGAAUCCUAGAUACCGAGAUCGCAGAUUAAACGGAACUGAGAUUUCUUCCACCAGUUCCUUCAGGGGCUGGUUCCUAACUUUGAGGGUUACUUCAAGGGAUUGCUAUAAUAUGAUCUUGUGGCUUCGACUUGAAGCUGGAUGUCAUUCAGGAAAAUUGUAAUAUAACAGAACGACAACAAACAGCCGAAUGAAUAAUCGUUUGUUGAAGAAUGUAAAACAUUAGACUGUACCAAUCAUUAAAUGAGGUGAAGGUCAUUACAAGGUCAUGACCUUGUUUGAGCGUGGAAGAAGUGUGUAUAUUUACUACAAGAAGGGUUGUACAGGUGUUUAAUCUAAUGAAGAAAUGCAUUUUUGUUGGGUGUAUGUGAAUUAUGGGUGCGUGUAUGGCAAGUUGUAUGGGUGUACACAGGAGAGGUGGGAUUGUAAUGGUGACGGGACAGUUACGACAUGUAAUGUGAAGGUAGGAUGAAAGGUCACUGUAACACAAAUCCUCAAACAACAUCAUUGUACACUUGUCAUUUGCUGUAGUGUGAACCUUGAGAUAACAUUUGACACAUGUCAGGCACAUCCAUUUCAACUGGUUGACUGUCUUUGUUAAGGCGUAUGUAUUUCAAUAUUAAUAUUUCUGCAUACUUUGUCUUAAGUCCCUUGACCCUGACAAGUAAACGCCAAAUGGAGCUUAUAAAUGUGGUAGUCCUUAAAUCUUACCACUAAAUGCCAAAGGGAGAAUGGAGCUCGUAUUGUUAGAGGAAAAUCUGCUAUAUAUAAGAUUAAGACCUUGAGUGGUAAACUUACUUGAUAUUGAUGUUGUCCAAUAGUCCAUAUUCUGAUCAUCAAGUGAGUUUGUUCAAAUUGCCUCUGUUCACCCAGCAGAAAAUGGGUACCCGGUUGGAUAAGUCAUGUGACUAUAGCCUUCUAGCGCCUAACAGGCAGCUUGGGUUAUCCGGGGUAAUAAGAACCAGAUUCUGAUUAAGCGCCGCGAGCAAUCACUUGGUGUUUGGAACCGUGCGCUAUAAAAGAUGACUUAUCAUUAUUAAUAAUAUGAUUCUAGCUGCUGCUACAAAUGGCCUCCAUGGUUGUACGCAACUCUACUACAGAUACAAGACAGGUAUAUAAAGCACCAUAGAAGGUACUGGUGCCAAGAGCAGAUUGUAAGAUCAGUGCCACUUCCAAGAAUUCAACUCACAUGUUCAGACUAGUGAUGUUUCCAGAAUUUCUGCAAUGGUGAUAAUCCUAGAAAAGGACUUUUUUCUGUCAAAAAGUCCUCCAUAUCCACUAGGGGUGACUAUUGAGGGGGAAACAACUAUUGCGACAGACUAUUGCGACUAACUAUUGCAAUAGUUUUUUUUCUCCUUGAAUUGUCUCAUUUCAAGUCAUUUCUCAAAUGAAUGUAUAGUUUAUAUGAGAUAAAAACAAGUUGAAGUAGUUUCAGUUUCUUUUUAUAACUGACAAGAAACUUGAAACCUAGAUCAAGUAAACAGUUAAAACAUAAGCUUAUUGUUAUUGACAUUUUCAAACUCCAAGUCGCAUGCUGUGUUGCGACCAUGUUGGCUUAAGAGGUAACGGGUGGAUAACAAAGUGAACGAAUCUGUGCAUCAAUAGUUCUUCAUUUCUGCCAUUGAUUAAUUGCUAUCAGAGACCCAACAAUUGCAAUCUAUCGAUAGUUUGCUGCAUAGUUACAGCACUAAUAUCCACAGAGUACUAAUUCAGUACUAGUCCCUUGACGAGGCAGUGCAGGAGAGAUGAUUGUUAGGACAUGCUACUUGUGAGUUGAUUGAGGGUUUUUGUACAGGAUGAAUGGGUGUCUGAAUAUUUAAUUAUUGUGUACAUAUUUUGUGAAAUGUUGACCUAUAUCGAGACAGGACUUCUAGUUAGUAUUACCUGGAGAUGACAACACUCUGUGAUUCAAGGUCAGAUGUGACCCUUCUAAAAGCUUUAAGCCAAGUAAUGACCAUAUAUGGUAUCAGCAUGUGUUCACCUCUCGACUUUACCACUGUCCAUAAAACUUGCAUUUCAUGUUAUUUACUGAUGUAAGGUACAGUCAGUAUAUCUGUGUAAAGAGACAAUAAACAGUUCUACAUGGAAUCCAUGUAAACUGAUUCAAAUGCAAGUGUUGGUAGACAGCUUGAGUUUGAUUAUUUCAUUAUUGAAACAGAGAAACAACACUGACUAAUAAUACAUGGCCUGAUCUAUGAAGACUUUUAGACAUAUUUGGUAUGUUGUUAGGUAAGUAGUUUGAUUCCUUUUCACUAGGCCAGAAGCCCUGACCAAGGAGGACUUUAUGAAACACGCAAUAGCCUAGCUCGAAGUACAAUAUAUUCCCAUGUGCUCUAAAUGUUUUACUUGUAAACCAGAACGAAAAGCUGCUGAACUGUAAGACUUGAGGAAGUUAUUGCACAUCUUAUUAGAGAUUUUAUCUUAAUGUUCAUCUAGCUUCUACAAUUUUUACUCCAGUUACCAUGGUUACUUUCAUCAGCUCACACUGUGUGAAAAAAGACGACAAAAGACUGGGUUUUUUAGAUGUUAUGUGUCUUAAAACAUUUUGUGAAAUCAUCUUGCUGUUUGAUGAUGUAUUUGCUCAGUUUCAUAUGGAGAGUGACUUGAUUUGAAGCUAGGUGAAUCAUUACUGCUUCCUGUUUGAUGACACGUAUAUGUAUCACUAUGUACUUGAAUACAUGAGGGUGAUCCUGAACCCAUAUUGGUCUAUAGUCAAAUGAAUGUCAUGUGCCAUGAAGUGUGUAUUAUAUGUACAUUGGAUGUAUAAAUUUGUUCUUGUAUUUAGGAGGCAAACAUCUGAUUCUUCCUUUCAUAGACACAAAAUCAUUUCUGAGUGUUUUAGAGCGAAAUUUGCUUUCAGUCAUCAGUAGUAAGCCGAAUCUGUUGAAUGUUUCGCUUUAGAUGUUGAAACUAUCAAUCCUUAUUCAUCCUCAGUGAUCUUAGUAUAGCUCUUAUCAUAAAACAUACCUCAGAUUUCUGUAGUCAAAGCUUUAAUUAUGGUGGAUGGAUGUAUAUUUACGUGGUGUAAUUACAACAAAAUCAAAUUUUUGCCUCACUCUUGUAAAAAGCCAUAGUUAUCACCAGAACUAUUUUCAAAUCCUAAAAGGUCUAUAAACUUCAGUCUUUGAUUCUCAACAUGUCAUGUGGAAGUCAUGCAGUGUAUGGGUUAUGUGAUUGUCAUGUGACAGGUCAUGUGAUCAGUGUCAUGUACGUCAGGUGAUCAAUGUCAUGUGACCAAGUCACAUGGUAAGGUUGUAUUUUAUGGGCUAUUGUCCACUGCAAUUAAAGAUAUUUCAUCUUAAA